AGUAAGUGUAGUUGUAAGUUUCCGUAUCCAAGGUUUGAUUGUCCGUCUUAUUUAAAUUUUUUUUUUACGAUUAGUAUUUUUAUUGUUAUUAGAUGAUAAAUAUAAAUAGUAUUUUAUGCAUGACUUAUUUUUUAUAAGUUUUUUAAAUAAAAUGGACAGUUAAAUGUUGAACACAGAAGCCUAUAACUACGCUUAAA
rfam:Oryza barthii chromosome 4, whole genome shotgun sequence.